rnacentral:rRNA from 1 species
UCAAAGGAAUUGACGGGGACCCGAACAAGUAGCGGAGCAUGUGGUUUAAUUCGAAGCAACGCGAAGAACCUUACCUAAGCUUGACAUCCCAAGGACAUCUCCUUAAUCGGAGAGUUCCCUUCGGGGAUAUUGGUGACAGGUGGUGCAUGGUUGUCGUCAGCUCGUGUCGUGAGAUGUUGGGUUAAGUCCCGCAACGAGCGCAACCCUUGUCUUUAGUUGC